UGUUCAUCUUUGGUGACAGGAGAGAUUCCAAGUGCUAAAUAAGGGAGGUGAGUGGAAGGGACUCCGGAAGGAUGGGAUGCCACUGCGGCCAGGGCUGAGAUCUGGCCUCUGGAUUUAGGUUCCCACUGGUCCAAUCCCUGUGUGACCUUGAAUAAGCUCUGCGACCCUCAGAGCCUUAGUUUCUCCCCCAACUCCUGUGUCCCAGACUGGAAGCAACUUCAAGGCAGAAGUCAUCUAUCCUGUCCAACCUUUGAAUCCUCAGUACCUAAACCCAUGCAUUGCGUGGAGUGGGCACCAUAUACAUUUGUUGAAAGAAGACAUGGAUGAAGUGUGACAUUAAACUGCAUAAUAUAUGACCUUUGCUGCAAAGCCUUUUUAGAUUGGGUGGCUAGAACCAAGGAAUACAGUGUUCCACUCUGGAAUCCAAUCUCCUUUUCCCCAUCUGCUCUGAAGAUUGGAUAAUUUACUGAAAUGUAAAGAGGAUUAAUUUGUAAACAUUUCUAAAAUGUUUGGAGAUCUGUGGGCUGUUGGAGAUCUGUGGGCUGUGGUACAGGUGAUGUGCCAAACAUCCUUAUACUGUUAUUGUGUUAGCAUUUCAACAAUGAACUCUUAAUAAACACAGUAGAUUCAGAUGGGAACUAAACUGUAAUGCAAUAAACUCUGCACAAAUUAAGAUCUUAUUUUCAUAUAGCUAGUUCCACUAAGGGGAAGGGGGAGAAAAACCACAAAUAUAAAAUCUGCAUGUC